rnacentral:rRNA from 1 species
CCUACGGGUGGCAGCAGUAGGGACUAUUGCUCAAUGGGGGAAACCCUGAAGCAGCAACGCCGCGUGGAGGAUGAAGGUUUUCGGAUCGUAAACUCCUUUUGUUAGAGAAGAUAAUGACGGUAUCUAACGAAUAAGCACUUGAUCACUCCGUCCCAGCAGCCGCGGUAAUACGGCGGGUGCAAGCGUUAAUUGGAAACACUGGGGGUAAAGAGCGCGUAGGCGGGAUGGCAAGUCAAAUGUGAAAUCAUAUGGCUUAACCCGAGAACUGCAUUUGAAACUGUUAUUCUAGAGUAUGGGAGAGGUAGGUGGAAUUCUUGGUGUAGGGGUAAAAUCCGUAGAGAUCAAGAGGAAUACUCAUUGCGAAGGCGACCUGCUAGAACAUAACUGACGCUGAUGCGCGAAAGCGUGGGGAGCAAACAGGAUUAGAUACCCGGGUAGUC